rnacentral:rRNA from 1 species
GAUGAACGCUAGCGGGAGGCCUAACACAUGCAAGCCGAGCGGUAUUUGUUCUUCGGAACAGAGAGAGCGGCGCACGGGUGCGGAACACGUGUGCAACCUGCCUUUAUCUGGGGGAUAGCCUUUCGAAAGGAAGAUUAAUACCCCAUAAUAUAUUGAGUGGCAUCAUUUGAUAUUGAAAACUCCGGUGGAUAGAGAUGGGCACGCGCAAGAUUAGAUAGUUGGUGAGGUAACGGCUCACCAAGUCAAUGAUCUUUAGGGGGCCUGAGAGGGUGAUCCCCCACACUGGUACUGAGACACGGACCAGACUCCUACGGGAGGCAGCAGUGAGGAAUAUUGGACAAUGGGGUAGCGCCUGAUCCAGCCAUCCCGCGUGAAGGACGACGGCCCUAUGGGUUGUAAACUUCUUUUGUAUAGGGAUAAACCUACUCUCGUGAGAGUAGCUGAAGGUACUAUACGAAUAAGCACCGGCUAACUCCGUG